CGCUGGCGGCGUGCCUAAUACAUGCAAGUCGAGCGGACCAAAGGGAGCUUGCUCCUGGAGGUCAGCGGCGAACGGGUGAGUAACACGUGGGCAACCUGCCUGUAAGACUGGGAUAACAUCGAGAAAUCGGUGCUAGUACCGGAUAAUAAAAAGAACUGCAUGGUUCUUUUUUGAAAGAUGGUUUCGGCUAUCACUUACAGAUGGGCCCGCGGCGCAUUAGCUAGUUGGUGAGGUAACGGCUCACCAAGGCAACGAUGCGUAGCCGACCUGAGAGGGUGAUCGGCCACACUGGGACUGAGACACGGCCCAGACUCCUACGGGAGGCAGCAGUAGGGAAUCUUCCGCAAUGGACGAAAGUCUGACGGAGCAACGCCGCGUGAGUGAUGAAGGUUUUCGGAUCGUAAAACUCUGUUGUUAGGGAAGAACAAGUGCCGUUCGAAAGGGCGGCACCUUGACGGUACCUAACGAGAAAGCCACGGCUAACUACGUG
rnacentral:rRNA from 1 species